rnacentral:tRNA from 1 species
CCCCUGCUGGUCCAGUGGCGAAGACAUCGAGCUUCCAGUGCAGGGGGCCCAGGUUCGAUCCCUGGGCAGGGAA